rnacentral:rRNA from 1 species
UACGUAGGUGGCAAGCGUUGUCCGGAAUUAUUGGGCGUAAAGCGCGCGCAGGCGGUCCUUUAAGUCUGAUGUGAAAGCCCACGGCUCAACCGUGGAGGGUCAUUGGAAACUGGGGGGACUUGAGUACAGAAGAGGAAAGCGGAAUUCCACGUGUAGCGGUGAAAUGCGUAGAGAUGUGGAGGAACACCAGUGGCGAAGGCGGCUUUCUGGUCUGUAACUGACGCUGAGGCGCGAAAGCUAGGGGAGCAAACAGG